AAUCCGGUCAAAGUUCAACACAAGCAUGGCGUCGCAAAAAGACCUCAGAGUACGAAGUGUCUUCAAACCCGGUCUGUUCGCCGGGAAGGUGGCGGUAGUGACGGGCGGAGGGACGGGGAUAGGGCUGGCAAUCACCAAGGAACUCCUCAGUCUCGGGUGCAAAGUGGUGAUAGCCUCUCGGAAGAAGGACCGUCUCCAGGCAGCAGCAGACCAGCUGGCUGCAUGUAUCCCACCUGGAAGUACAGCCCAGGUCAAGGCCAUUCCCUGCAACAUCAGGAAAGAAGAUGAGGUAGCAAAACUACUAGGUUUAAACUCACUCACUCACUCUCUCGCCCGCCCGGUGAGGCUAUGGGACACAUACUCAGUGCAAAUGACCAUAGUGUCUGAGUUCGGUCGGCUGGAUUUCCUGGUGAAAAUGGUGGAGGCCAGUUCCAGAGUCCCGUGUCAGCGCUCAGUCUGAAGGGAUGGAACGCUGUGGUUGACACUAACCUCAACGGAACAUUCCUGUGUCUUAGAGAAGCAUACAAUGCCUGGAUGGCAGAGAAUGGAGGAGCUGUGGUCAACAUUGUCCUGCUCAUAUCUAAAGGAAGACCAGGAAUAGCACACUCCGCUGCGGCCCGCGCUGGUAUUGACAACCUCAGCAAAAGUCUGGCUGUAGAAUGGGCUGAAAAUGGGAUCAGGAUCAACUGUGUGGCACCUGGGUCCAUCUACAAUGUCACAGCGGCUGAAAACUACAAGGCUAUCGGAGACGUUUUUGCUCAUGCCAUCCCUCUGACACCUGCAAAAAGAAAUGGCACCACAGAAGAGGUGUCUGCAGCUGUCACCUUCUUGUUAUCCCCUGCUGCUGCCUUCAUCACUGGAGAGACCAUCAAAGUGGAUGGAGGAUGGGACUUGUUCCAAGUUUCUUGGCCGAUACCAGAACAUGACAAGAUGCCAGCAUACGACUGGGAAAAGAUCAUUGAGGAAGAAGACAAACUCAAGUCAAAACUUUGAGAAAAAAAUGGCUAUUGUUUUAUUCACAAGUCAUUAUACAAUAUUCAAUACAACAAUAUGAAUAAUGACCCAAUCUGUUUCAUAUACAUGAUAUAGUAUUACUGUUCUGCAAUUAA